ensembl:lncRNA
UUGUUUGUUUGAAUACCUUAAGUUUUACCAUUUCAACCCAAUUCCAUCAAAGCUAACGCCUACCAACCUGGAAAAGUGAAGCAAGCGUCGCAAGCUAGAUCAGUUUUCCACCUGCGAUACAAAUGGAAAACCACAUGAAAGUCCAUGAAAGUGGAUAAACACACACCUACAGAUAGAUAUUAAGACUGAAAGUGCCAAAAAUUCUGAUAUAUACUCUAUAUAAGAGUAAAAGAAUACAUCAGAGAGUUUGUAUUCAUUUUUUAUUUAACAUUUAUAAAGUAAUAUUGUUCAAAGCAAGAUCAAAAAUAUUAAUUAAAGCAUCCAAACACACGUUAUUAAUGUGAGUAUUGUUAUUACAAAAAAAAAAAAACAAACCAAUAACCCUCAAAAGUUCAUCUCAAAGUACUCUUUGAGAUAACGCUCAGAUCUGACUGCUCAGAUAGCGCUGAUUAAUUUGAAUGAUUUUCUAACACGUUCUAAUAUGUUUUCAUUUCUACCGUAAUAAACGAUAAAUCGAUUUUAAAAAACGUGUAACUGUUGAAAACGUGAAGAUUUCUAUAAAGAGACAUUUACUUAACGUUUAUGGAAUGAGUCUCCAGCGUCGGCGCUUUAUAACUGUAGAGCCGUAACUUGAAAUUUCUCCCCAUACAAGAAAUGUUUUAUUCCUUAUUUAAGUCUCUGUAAACAAAUACACAGUUGAAUAUUGAAGAGAUUAGAUUUAUAAUCAAGAGAUUAGAGUUAAUAUGAUGAGCUGGUAUCAGUGCAGUCAUGAUCCCAUGUAACAGUGUAGAAAGUAGUGAAAGUUCGGCCUCAGAGAACGAUGUACGUGUUUCUACGGUUACUGAGAAUCCUCUCACUGCCGGAGAGCCAUUGUCGGACCCUUAAUCAAAGACCUCAUGCUCUGUAUUUAGAGUUUUGGAUUGGACACGCGCGUGUCCUGCCAAGUGAAUAAAAAUGGAUGUGGAUCCACGUGAUGACACUAAUCGCACGAAUAGACUCGCUAGUUUAGCUUACUGGAUUUCACAUUUAAUUAUCCGAGACUAUAAACACGGCCUCUUCGUUACUCUUCUACUCAUCGCAACGACUAACCAAAUGACAAAAAAUGUCAGUCUAAGCAAACUUUUUUCUCAUGGCACUGUAUGAAUGUACGUUUUGGCCACGUAUCAAAGGCGUUGCAGGUUUAUACGGUUACCGCGCAUGACGAAUACAUCGUAGCGUAUUAAGUAUUAGUGUUAAAGGCUGCGCUUCUUUACAUUGGAACGGAAUGAAUUGAAAGGCUUUGGCGUUUCAUCCGCUGAAUGUAAAGCCACGCUGCUACUCUUCUGGGGUGGGGUCAGGAUUCAUUAGGCCUUCGGCAUUCCCAUCUUGGAAGAGAGGACGAGUACGGUGCCUCAGAAUCACCAGAAAAAGUCUGAUCGUGAAGAAAACGCAGGCCAGCGCCAGGAGAACAGCUGCGGAUUAAACAGAUGAGAUAAGAAGGUAAAGGAAGAAGCACGCGUGGAACAUCUCAAACUGACGCUGAGAAACAGCCGACAUGUUCCGGACGCGUUCCUACAUCUUCUCGGAUCAAACUAGCUAAAGCCUAUAAGCCUUUCGCAGACUGAAACAGGGGGUGGAGCUUAUUUCAGGGUCAGAAAAAUGUAAACAGAGGCCUGAAACACUAAAGAAAACACGGCUUCCUGUUAGUCACAGUGAAAGGGAAACGACCUCCGUGCCUGUCAAUCCCAAUGAGGCGUGGCUUGUGUGCCUGUCAGUCUUAUUGAAGGGGGUGUGGCUUCUGCUACUGUGAGUUCAGCAAGGAAGGCUCGUCAGAGAGUGAAGUAGGUGUGGCUUGUGUAUCUAUCAGUUCCAGUGAAGGAGGCGUGGCCUCUGUGAAUGUCAGCCCCGAAGAAAAAGGUGUGGCUAGUGUAUCCAUCAGUCUUAGUGAACAAGGCGUGGCCUCUGUAUGUCAGUUCUAGUGAAGGAGGUGUGGUUUCUGUGAAAGACAUUCACAGCGACGAAGGCGUGGCUUAUGUGCCUGCCAGUACCAAUGAAGGUAAUGUGACCUCUCUGAAAGUCAGUUACAAUGCAGGAGGUGUGGCUUCUCUGCCUGUUAGUUUCAGUGAAGAAAGCAUGCUCAGUCCUAAAAAAAAAAAAAAAGAAGGUGUGGCCUCUACGUCUGCAAGUAGGGAGGCGUGGCCUUGCUGCUCGUCAGAUCUAGUGAAGUAGGCGUGGCUUGUGUGUCAGACAGCUCUGUGUGGAAACACUUCUUAUCGCUGGCACACAUACUGUCACGGACUCACCUGAAAACACGGCGUUUCUGCCUGGAGCUGCUGCAUCGUAGUGUUUGCUCAGGCUUCCACUCAGCGCGAAGAUGACGACGGGGUAGACGGUCAGAAUGUAGCGCACGUGCUUCUCGAUCACAAAGUUCUCAACAGCAAACCUGCACAUGCGAAAACGACAUUUGACACAGUACAAAAAAAUAUUUAUACAUCUAAAUCGUCAAAGGAACAUUAGCCUCUGUAUGAGGACGGACCAUACAACCACUUCUAAAAGCAGAAUGCACAGAGAAACAGUGGCCGCAUUCGUCGGGGACAUGGAUGUCAUAUCCAACACCACGGUCAAGUUGAGGAGCGUAGCUACGGUCGUCCAUGUUGCGGGGCGUGGCUUCUCAGAAUACAGAUGGGGUAAGAAGGAGCCUGCUGCGUUACCAACCUCUUCCCGAUCCAGCCAAGGCGUUGAUGGCCAAAGCAACGAUGUAAACCACCAGAGAGACAAGAAGAACUAAAAUCCGCCCGAUGUUAUGCUCCUCCAUGAUUGCGCUUGAUUUAAACAAAAAAAAAAAGAUACGAUAAAAAUAAAUUAAUAAAUACAAUUUUUUUUCCAAAACCGACGAUAAAAAAAGCGUCUUUUUUUCAGUUUGUACACCAAACCUGACUGAUUUUCCUCCGAAUUUCGAUUAAAAUGUAAUUAGUUUGCUGUUAACACGCUGUAUAUCUGCACACAACAGCACUGGAUAUUAAUUCUCCCUGUUAUUUAGUGUAAACUGAGUUACGUUAACAUUAAUAUCCACUAACGCGUCACUGUUUACUUUCAGGUUUCGUAACUUCUCUUCUUCUUCCGC